UUGACCUCGGAUCAGGUAGGGAUACCCGCUGAACUUAAGCAUAUCAAUAAGCGGAGGAAAUC
rnacentral:rRNA from 5 species